rnacentral:lncRNA from 1 species
AACACCUUCUGGUUUUGUCCUUCACUUAACAAGCCAACUAGGUCCAACAGGAAGUUUACCUGAAAAAGCAGUCAGAACAGUCUUGCAUUUUUUCAUUGAAGGGACUCUUUCUCUCCACGUCUUGCCAGAAAUAUCUUUGUCUGAAAGGACAAAGGAACCAGGACCUCACCAAUCUUACAGAACAGAUGGACUCUAAAUAAGGAAGUUAAGUUUUAUGUGCCUUCUUGUGAUGAAGAUGGAUCCUCACACUUAUACUGUGCUUUAAGAAAGAUGAAAUAAAGACCAAAUCUCUGGAUAUAUGGUGAACAAGAGCUGUGAGAAGACUCUGAGGCCUUAGGAAAUGGGAAAGCUACCGGUCAAAAGGAUCCUGGCCCCUGAAUAACUGCACAGCUCUUUGCUGGUCUGCACUGGGAUGCGAUGUAACUGAUAAAUAAACAUUUCUUAUGUUAAAC